rnacentral:lncRNA from 1 species
CACGCUUACAUCUACCUCCACGCCCACACUUACACCCACGCUUACAUCUACCUCCACACCCACACUUACACUCACGCUUACAUCUACCUCCACGCCCGCACUUACACCCACCCACACUUACACCCACCCACACUUACAUCUACCUCCACGCCCACACUUACACCCACCCACACUUACAUCUACCUCCACGCCCACACUUACACCCACCCACACUUACACCCACGCUUACAUCUACCUCCA